rnacentral:rRNA from 1 species
GCGAGCGGCGGAUGGGUGAGUAACACGUGGGGAACCUGCCCCUAAGUCUGGGAUACCAUUUGGAAACAGGUGCUAAUACCGGAUAAUAAAGCAGAUCGCAUGAUCAGCUUUUGAAAGGCGGCGUAAGCUGUCGCUAAGGGAUGGCCCCGCGGUGCAUUAGCUAGUUGGUAAGGUAACGGCUUACCAAGGCGACGAUGCAUAGCCGAGUUGAGAGACUGAUCGGCCACAUUGGGACUGAGACACGGCCCAAACUCCUACGGGAGGCAGCAGUAGGGAAUCUUCCACAAUGGACGCAAGUCUGAUGGAGCAACGCCGCGUGAGUGAAGAAGGUUUUCGGAUCGUAAAGCUCUGUUGUUGGUGAAGAAGGAUAGAGGUAGUAACUGGCCUUUAUUUGACGGUAAUCAACCAGAAAGUCACGGCUAACUACGUGCCAGCAGCCGCGGUAAUACGUAGGUGGCAAGCGUUGUCCGGAUUUAUUGGGCGUAAAGCGAGCGCAGGCGGAAAAAUAAGUCUAAUGUGAAAGCCCUCGGGCUUAACCGAGGAACUGCAUCGGAAACUGUUUUUCUUGAGU